rnacentral:tRNA from 1 species
GGCUUCGUAGCUCAACUGAAUAGAGCAUCUGACUACGAAUCAGAAGGUUUCUGGUUUGAAUCCAGACGAGGUCA